UACGUAGGGUGCAAGCGUUAAUCGGAAUUACUGGGCGUAAAGCGUGCGCAGGCGGUUAUGUAAGACAGAUGUGAAAUGCCCGGGCUUAACCUGGGAACUGCAUUUGUGACUGCAUGGCUAGAGUUUGGCAGAGGGGGGUAGAAUUCCACGUGUAGCAGUGAAAUGCGUAGAGAUGUGGAGGAAUACUGAUGGCGAAGGCAGCCCCCUGGGAUAACACUGACGCUCGGGUGCGAAAGCCAGGGGAGCGAACGGG
rnacentral:rRNA from 1 species